rnacentral:rRNA from 1 species
GAUGAACGCUGGCGGCGUGCCUAAUACAUGCAAGUCGAGCGGAAAGGCCUCUUCGGAGGUACUCGAGCGGCGGACGGCAGAGUAACGCGUAGGGAACAUACCCCAAACUGAGGGAUAACUGCCCGAAAGGGUGGCUAAUACCGCAUGUGAUCUUCGGAUUAAAGCUUCGGCGGUUUGGGAAUGGCCUGCGUUCGAUUAGCUAGUUGGUGAGGUAAAGGCUCACCAAGGCGACGAUCGAUAACUGGUCUGAGAGGAUGAUCAGUCUGACUGGAACUGAGACACGGUCCAGACUCCUACGGGAGGCAGCAGUAGGGAAUUUCCACAAUGGGCGAAAGCCUGAUGGAGCAACGCCGCGUGCAGGAUGAAGGCCCUUGGGUCGUAAACUGCUUUUAUGUGAGAAGAAUAAUGACGGUAACGCAUGAAU